GACGGGACCCGCACAAGCAGCGGAGCGUGUGGUUUAAUUCGUUGCUACACGAAGAACCUUACCUGGGUUUGACAUAUAGGUUGUAGGGAACUGAAAAGGGACCGACCCUUCGGGGAGCCUAUACAGGUGUUGCAUGGCUGUCGUCAGCUCGUGUCGUGAGAUGUUCGGUUAAGUCCGCUAACGAGCGCAACCCUCGUCGUAUGUUAUAUGUGUCAUACGAGACUGCCGGUAAAAGCCGGAGGAAGGUGAGGAUGAUGUCAAGUCAGCAUGACCUUUAUAUCCAGGGCUACACACACGCUACAAUGGUCUGUACAAUGGGUAGCCAAGCCGCGAGGCGGAGCCAAUCCUGAAAGCAGGCCUCAGUUCAGAUUGCAGUCUGCAACUCGACUGCAUGAAGCCGGAGUUGCUAGUAACCGCAGGUCAGCAAUACUGCGGUGAAUACGUUCCCGGGUCUU
rnacentral:rRNA from 1 species